UGAGGAAUAUUGGUCAAUGGCCGGGGAGGCUGAACCAGCCAAGUCGCGUGAGGGAAGACGGUCCUAUGGAUUGUAAACCUCUUUUGUCAGGGAGCAAAAACUGCCACGUGUGGCAGGAUGAGAGUACCUGAAGAAAAAGCAUCGGCUAACUCCGUGCC
rnacentral:rRNA from 1 species